GCUGGAUUUUUGCCUCGGUGACUAUGGGGCUGUUUGGUUCCUAGCCACACCUUGCCACACUUUGCCGCAACUUACCUUAGGCAAGUUUGACCAAGUUAGGUGGGUGUUUGGUUCUAGCCACACCUAAGGCAAGCAUUUUUUAAUGAGUACUAAACCCCACAUGUCAUAGACACAAAAAGUGUGGCAAGAUUCCCUUAGACAAGCCAAUGUGUGGCUAACAAUUUGAGCAACUCAAAUAAGGCAAGUGUGGCAAAAAUAAUGUGGUAAGAUAUGGCAAGGAUAGUCAUAAUCCAAACAGCCCCUAUGUCUGUGCACUGCCUCAACGUAACUGACAUCAUGCACAGCCAUCUGGUAAUUUGGGGCAUCAAUUUUUGUUUGUGUACGCAGUCCCUUCUCUCACAUGAUUCUUUCUUCCUUUGAUUUGUUUCUUUCUUCUAAUGUUGUUGUCUGUGUUUUGCCUCCUUUUGCCUGUAGUGAACCACAACGGGAAUUGCAUGUGCAUUGAACAUCCCUGGACUUCACGUCUACUGGCAGCAGCGAUAUACAUAUCGAUUAUGCUAUCAUUUAAGGUUAUCUAUUUUCAGCAUUUUCAGUUAUAGGUGUAAUUUUCUUCAGUUCCACAACAUCCUUCAGAGUUCAGGGUUCAGCGUUCAGUGAAUCCUGGUGUGUUGUCUGUGUGAGAUGGUAACGGGUUUGCAAGCGGCCCGUUAGGUUUGCAAACAAUCGCUUAAAGGUCCAAGAGGGAGAGGCAGAAUUAGACCUGAAACCGGAACGAAAACAUAAGUUUUUGAAGACUGGGAACUGACUAAAAUUACAACGAAUACAAAGUGUCAAAAACUGAUAGGACUAAAAACGACCUGAACCAAAUGGAAAAACACACGACUGACAUUUUAUUUUAUAGAACAAAAAGUGGUUAUGUGCCUUCAAAUUUGGUUACCUUGAGGUGUGCCAAAUUUUGCGGUGGUGGCUCCAACACUCAGGGAAACACUGGGGCAAGGAUCCCGUGGGAUGGAUCUGACUUUUUGAUUUUGUAUAAUCUUCACUAUAAUAG
rnacentral:lncRNA from 1 species